CUAUGUAGGUCAGGCUGGCUUUGAGCUCAUAAACCUCCUGCCUCAGCCUUCCUGAGUGCUGGGGUUACAAGUGUACGUAAUCAUACCAGGCUAUUUGCUGAUUUUUCUUAAUCAUGCCACAUCUUUGUGAACCUCUCCACCAGAUUCCAUCUUCUCUUGAUUUUGGGUUAGCCAUCAACCUCCUGCCUGCCACUGAUGAUCUAGGGAUAUGACUUUCACAAAGAUACUGUUGAGACAAACAGCGGUCUCAGCAGCCUCCUGGCCUUGUAAUCUCCGUGACCAUCGUUCUGAGAGCAGCCGAAUGCUGUGAGCCACAGUGGGAGAGUCAGGGCUUAGGAUUCAAGGAACCACGUACAACAAGCAAUCAAGAACAUUCCUCUUGAGUCUGGUGUGAUUUCCUCUCCAGUUCACUGCCCCUGAAGCCAAAUCCCAAGUCUGCUCUAAUGAAUACAGAAAACUCACUUGUCAUUAGUUGGACAAAAGCUAAUGGACUGGAGUCCUGGAGGACAGUGGGUCUCUUGAGCAAAUUAAACACUCCCUUGCAAUCUUGAA